rfam:Solanum lycopersicum cultivar Heinz 1706 chromosome 9, whole genome shotgun sequence.
AACCCAUGAGUUGGGCACUCUAUGUAAGUGACUCUUAAACCUCAUCCACGUUUCAUGGAUGGGUUCACCCUCUCCUCGCUUGAAACCUUUAAUGUCAUUUCUAAGUUU